GAUUACCUUAGUAACGGCGAGUGAAGCGGUAACAGCUCAAAUUUGAAAUCUGGGUCUUUUAGGCUCCGAGUUGUAAUUUGUAGAAGAUGCUUUGGGUGCGGCCCCGGUCUAAGUUCCUUGGAACAGGACGUCAUAGAGGGUGAGAAUCCCGUAUGUGAUCGGUGGCUUGCGCCCGUGUAAAGCUCUUUCGACGAGUCGGGUUGUUUGGGAAUGCAGCUCUAAAUGGGUGGUAAAUUUCAUCUAAAGCUAAAUAUUGGCCAGAGACCGAUAGCGCACAAGUAGAGUGAUCGAAAGAUGAAAAGCACUUUGGAAAGAGAGUUAAACAGUACGUGAAAUUGUUGAAAGGGAAGCGCUUGCAACCAGACUUGCGCGGGGUUGAUCAUCCGGGGUUCUCCCCGGUGCACUCGGCCUCGCUCAGGCCAGCAUCGGUUUUGGUGGUUGGAUAAAGGCCUUGGGAAUGUGACUUCUUUCGGGGAGUGUUAUAGCCCUCGGUGCAAUGCAGCCUACCGGGACCGAGGACCGCGCUUCGGCUAGGAUGCUGGCGUAAUGGUUGUAAGCGACCCGUCUUGAAACACGGACCAAGGAGUCUAACAUCUAUGCGAGUGUUUGGGUGUCAAACCCAUACGCGUAAUGAAAGUGAACGGAGGUGAGAACCCUUAAGGGUGCAUCAUCGACCGAUCCUGAUGUCUUCGGAUGGAUUUGAGUAAGAGCAUAGCUGUUGGGACCCGAAAGAUGGUGAACUAUGCCUGAAUAGGGUGAAGCCAGAGGAAACUCUGGUGGAGGCUCGCAGCGGUUCUGACGUGCAAAUCGAUCGUCAAAUUUGGGCAUAGGGGCGAAAGACUAAUCGA
rnacentral:rRNA from 1 species